GACGGAGGGGGCUAGCGUUGUUCGGAAUGACUGGGCGUAAAGGGCGUGUAGGCGGUUGACCAAGUCAGGCGUGAAAGCCCCGGGCUUAACCCGGGAACUGCGUUUGAUACUGGUUGACUUGAGGACGAGAGAGGAAAGUGGAAUUCCGAGUGUAGAGGUGAAAUUCGUAGAUAUUCGGAGGAACAUCAGAGGCGAAGGCGGCUUUCUGGCUCGUUACUGACGCUGAGGCGCGAAAGCGUGGGGAGCAAACAGG
rnacentral:rRNA from 1 species